rnacentral:rRNA from 1 species
UACGUAGGCAGCGAGCGUUGUUCGGAGUUACUGGGCGUAAAGGGUGUGUAGGCGGUUGUUUAAGUUUGGUGUGAAAUCUCCCGGCUCAACUGGGAGGGUGCGCCGAAUACUGAAUGACUCGAGUGUGGGAGAGGUGAGUGGAAUUCCUGGUGUAGCGGUGAAAUGCGUAGAUAUCAGGAGGAACACCGGUGGUGUAGACGGCCCACUGGACCAUAACUGACGCUGAGACACGAAAGCGUGGGUAGCAAACAGG